rnacentral:lncRNA from 1 species
AGCUCCCCCCACCCCCCAAGCAAGUAUGGGCCAGGGCUGAACCCCCAUUUCCCCCCCCCCAGGCAUGGAGCCCAGAGUGGGAGGAACCGAGCCCCAAAGCGCCACCACCGGGGCAGGAGGAGGAGAAGGUGCCGCUGAAGAGCAUCCGCUUGGCCCCGAGCAGUGCGGCCGAGGCGCCGGCGCCGGUUCUGGGCCAGCGGGUUCGGGCCAUUUACGACUACACUGGGCAGGAGCCGGACGAGCUGAGCUUCACCGCGGGGGAGGAGCUGACGAAGCUGGAGGAGCAGGACCCCCAGGGCUGGUGCAAGGGGGUGACGGACGGGGGGCGCGUGGGGCUGUA